rnacentral:misc_RNA from 1 species
UGUGAACGUUACCAAACUGUUGCCUCGGCGGGAUCUUCUGCCCCGGGUGCGUCGCAGCCCCGGACCAAGGCGCCCGCCGGAGGAAUCAACCAAAACUCUUAUUGUAUACCCCCUCGCGGGUUUUUUUAUAAUCUGAGCCUUCUCGGCGCCUCUCGUAGGCGUUUCGAAAAUGAAUCAAAACUUUCAACAACGGAUCUCUUGGUUCUGGCAUCGAUGAAGAACGCAGCGAAAUGCGAUAAGUAAUGUGAAUUGCAGAAUUCAGUGAAUCAUCGAAUCUUUGAACGCACAUUGCGCCCGCCAGUAUUCUGGCGGGCAUGCCUGUCCGAGCGUCAUUUCAACCCUCGAACCCCUCCGGGGGGUCGGCGUUGGGGAUCGGCCUCCUUUACGGGGGCCGUCUCCGAAAUACAGUGGCGGUCUCGCCGCAGCCUCUCCUGCGCAGUAGUUUGCACACUCGCAUCGGGAGCGCGGCGCGUCCACAGCCGUUAAACACCCAACUUCUGAAAUG